rnacentral:rRNA from 1 species
UGAACGCUGGCGGCAGGCCUAACACAUGCAAGUCGAGCGGAUGAAAGGAGCUUGCUCCUGGAUUCAGCGGCGGACGGGUGAGUAAUGCCUAGGAAUCUGCCUGGUAGUGGGGGACAACGUUUCGAAAGGAACGCUAAUACCGCAUACGUCCUACGGGAGAAAGCAGGGGACCUUCGGGCCUUGCGCUAUCAGAUGAGCCUAGGUCGGAUUAGCUAGUUGGUGAGGUAAUGGCUCACCAAGGCGACGAUCCGUAACUGGUCUGAGAGGAUGAUCAGUCACACUGGAACUGAGACACGGUCCAGACUCCUACGGGAGGCAGCAGUGGGGAAUAUUGGACAAUGGGCGAAAGCCUGAUCCAGCCAUGCCGCGUGUGUGAAGAAGGUCUUCGGAUUGUAAAGCACUUUAAGUUGGGAGGAAGGGCAUUAACCUAAUACGUUAGUGUUUUGACGUUACCGACAGAAUAAGCACCGGCUAACUCUGUGCCAGCA